AUGAGAGACUACUUUGACCCAAAGCCAACCUAUCCGGAGAAGUACAUUCGUCGGUGCUUUUGGAUGCACACAAGUCUUUUUCUGAGCAUUGCAAAAGCCGUUCAGAGAUAUGAUGAUUGGUUCAGGCUUCGAAUAAAUGCAUGUGGAGAGAUAAGUGCAAGCCCUCUGAUGAAGUGCAUUGCAGCCGUUCGAGUCUUGGCAUAUGGGUGUUCGGCCAAUGCAACCGAUGACUAUGUCCGCAUUGGUGAAGACACAAUCUUAGAGGCUGUUCGAAGGUUCACUAAAGCAGCGAUCGCUGUCUUUGGCCUAGAGUACUUGAGGGCACCAACCGAAGAAGACAACAAGAGGCUGAUGAUUGAGGUGGAGCAAGAGGAUGGCCAGAGAUGCUUGGAUCACUUGACUGUAUGCACUGGACAUGGAAGAAUUGUCCUGCAGGGUGGAAGGGUUAGUACAAAGGCCACUGCAACGAUCCAACGAUCAUUCUUGAGGCAGUUGCACCGAAGGAUUUUGGAUAUGGCAUUCAUUCUUUGGUCUGCUUGGCUCUCACAAUGA
rnacentral:rRNA from 1 species